AUGAAGCCGCUGGAGAAAUUUCUGAAGAAGCAGACGUCGCAGCUGGCGGGGCGAACGGUGGCGGGAGGUCCCGGCGGGGGUCCGGGGAGCUGCGGCGGGCCUGGAGGGGGUGGGGGACCUGGCGGGGGCGGCGGUCCAGCCGGGGGACCUCGGCCGCUGCAGCGGCGUCAGAGCGUGUCUCGCCUGCUGCUCCCAGCUUUCCUCCGGGAGCCCCCCGCCGAGCCGGGGCUGGAGCCGCCCCCAGAGGAGGACGGAGGAGAGCCGACGGGGGUCGCGGAAGAGCUCGGCAGCGGGGGCCCCUGUUGGCUGCAGCUGGAGGAGGUCCCGGGGCCCGGGCCGCUCGGGGGAGGGGGACCCCUGCGCUCCCCUUCCUCUUACUCCUCAGACGAGCUGUCCCCCGGCGAGCCUCUGACUCCUCCACCCUGGGCCCCUCUGGGCGCCCCCGAGCGGCCGGAGCAUCUUCUGAACUGGGUUCUGGAGCGGCUGGCUGGAGGGGCUACCAGGGACAGCGCCGCUUCAGAUACCCUGCUGGAUGACAUCGUCCUCACUCAUUCGCUCUUCCUUCCCACGGAGAAAUUUCUGCAGGAGCUGCACCAGGUCAGCUUUGUUUGGGCAGGAGGCAUGGAAGGCCCUGAGGGGCUGGGCCGGAAGCAGGCCUGUCUAGCCAUGCUCCUUCAUUUCUUGGACACCUACCAGGGGCUGCUGCAGGAGGAAGAGGGGGCUGGCCGCAUCAUCAAGGACCUGUACCUGCUGAUUAUGAAGGAUGAGUCCCUUUACCAGGACCUCCGAGAGGACACACUGAGGCUGCACCAGCUUGUGGAAACAGUGGAGCUAAAGAUCCCGGAGGAGAGCCAGCCACCCAGCAAGCAGGUGAAGCCACUCUUCCGCCACUUCCAUCGGAUAGACUCCUGUCUGCAGACCCGCGUGGCUUUCCGGGGUUCUGAUGAGAUCUUCUGCCGGGUCUACAUGCCUGAUCACUCUUACGUGACCAUACGCAGCCGCCUCUCAGCAUCUGUGCAGGACAUCCUGGGCUCUGUGACGGAGAAGUUGCAGUACUCAGAGGAGCCUGCGGGGCGUGAGGAUUCCCUCAUCCUGGUUGCUGUGGCCUCCUCAGGAGAGAAGGUCCUUCUCCAGCCUACUGAAGACUGUGUCUUCACCACACUGGGCAUCAACAGCCACCUGUUUGCUUGCACCCGAGACAGCUUUGAGGCCCUGGUGCCCCUUCCUGAGGAAAUCCAGGUGUCCCCUGGAGACACGGAGAUCCAUCGCGGGGAGCCUGAGGACGUGGCCAACCACCUUACCGCCUUCCACUGGGAGCUGUUCCGCUGUGUGCACGAGCUGGAGUUCGUGGACUACGUGUUCCACGGGGAGCGCGGCCGCCGGGAGACGGCCAACCUCGAGCUGCUGCUGCAGCGCUGCAGCGAGGUUACCCACUGGGUGGCCACCGAGGUGCUGCUCUGCGAGGCCCCGGGCAAGCGCGCGCAGCUGCUCAAGAAGUUCAUCAAGAUCGCGGCCAUCUGCAAGCAGAACCAGGAUCUGCUGUCCUUCUACGCCGUGGUCAUGGGGCUGGACAACGCCGCCGUCAGCCGCCUGAGGCUCACCUGGGAGAAGCUGCCAGGGAAAUUCAAGAACUUGUUCCGCAAAUUUGAGAACCUGACGGACCCCUGCAGGAACCACAAAAGCUACCGGGAAGUGAUCUCCAAGAUGAAACCCCCUGUGAUUCCUUUCGUGCCUCUGAUCCUCAAAGACCUGACUUUCCUGCACGAGGGAAGUAAGACCCUGGUAGAUGGCUUGGUGAACAUUGAGAAGCUGCAUUCAGUGGCCGAAAAAGUGAGGACAGUCCGCAAAUACCGGAGCCAGCCCCUUUGCCUUGAUAUGGAGGCCUCCCCACAUCACCUGCAGACCAAGGCCUACGUGCGCCAGUUCCAGGUCAUCGACAACCAGAACCUCCUCUUCGAGCUCUCCUACAAGCUGGAGGCCAACAGUCAGUGAGAACUGAGGUUCUGCUUGGCCCCUCACCAGGGUCCUUGGGCACCUGGCACUCAAGCACUUUGCACGACUCCCUGCCCACAUCUGACAGCUUUCUUCUGGAGCCACUUCCUGCCCCACGGGAAGGAGUUGGGUGGACUGAGCCCUGGACUCAUAAGCCUGUUCUUCCUGCUGAAGUCCUCUCCCCCGUGCUCCUUCAAGCCCGAGCCACCCUCUGCUGGUUCCUGCCCUCUCAGGGGAAGCAGUGGGCAGAGAGCUCCUUCCCUGGCCCCUCCCAUCCAGGUCUGUUCCGGAGAUGGAGUUUCCCAUCUCCUCUACCCAAGCAGGCAGGAAGGCUUUGCCCACCCCCCUCCCCAUCUCAUCUCACAGAGCAGAGCUGUGGGAGGGGUUGGCAGCCUUCCUCUCCACCACCUGCCUGGCUUCUCCCUGACUUCUUCCUGGUGAGGGCUGGGACCCCUAGAUGCACCCCCAGAUAUGAUAUUGCCCUUGUGUCUGUCUGCGUGCGUGCGUGCGUGUGUGUGUGUGUUUGCACAUGCGCGUGUGGCCCCUUUGCAGGAGUAGCACUGCAUCUGGCAUUUGAGGGAAGGUGCUGUGUGUCCUGGGGAGGGGGUCCUUCUGUUUGGUGCUACCCUUGUCUGCUCCUGGGAUAGUACGGGGUGCUUUCCCCACCCCCACCACUCCCUGCCCAGCUCCUCCGCUGCCCUGCACACCCAGGCUUGUGGCUGAAGCUGCUCCGGAGGGCAGGGAGCAGCAGCAGACAGGAGGGUUACCAUCAGCCCUUACGGGUCUCCCACUCAGACCUCCUAAAGUUCCCUGGGUGGGCUCUGAUGAGAGGGUAAAAGAUGCUCAGGGAAACACAGGCCUAAGCUGCCUACAGGACCCCCCCCCCCGACAUUGCAGUGGGGUGAGACGUGGUAGCAGGAGUCAGGGUUGAUUUCUGCCCAUCCUCCUGAUUUUAGGGUGUCUCACUGCUAAGAAGGGCGUUAUCAUCUCCCUUUGGCCCUUCUGCAAGGAUGCCAGCACGUGGUCUCAUCCUCCUCCCUGUCUUGACUCCCCCCUUGGUCCUUCCCAUCGGAGCUGGGUGGGGUGGACCCCUGUACUUGGGUCAAGGCAGCCGCUCCCCGCUCCCCGACAUGGGGCAGGGAACGGCAGAGACUGGAAAAACGAAACUGGGCCCUGGCGAUGCCUCUGUUACCUCUCAGUCUCCCCUCCCUCUCCCAUCAGGGGCCUCCAGGGCUGAGGGUGCAAGACUCCCGGCA
rnacentral:misc_RNA from 1 species